AUUAUACUUAUGUUUGGCAUGAUUUCAAAUUUGAAUAAGAUACAGGAAAAUGUGACUACCGAAUAAUUCACAUCUACGGUGGUCAUAUUUCGAAUUCCAAUUUUAUAAAAUCGGGGUGUGAUAAGAUUAAAACUAAAAUAUAAAGAAACUUUUGCGAAUUUUAUAAAAGCAACCGACACAGCAUUUUUUUUCUAAGGUUUUUAAAUUAAAAGUAUAAUUGGGCCGUCCAUAAUUGAGCCUGAUUCAUGAACCCAAUACUAAAGUGAGCAUCCUCAAGACCCGACAAACUCUCUUGGCCUCCUCUAACGGCGGCGAACACGUAUCGCCACCGCCUUCCCCCUCCGACUCUUGACUUCCUCCUAAUCACUCUUUUGCUUGACCGAUCAGUUGACCAGACCCCAUCCCUCUCUGGCUCUUUCUAUUUCUGUGAAUCUCUCGGAAGCUUUUUCCGUGUAGAGAGAUGGGAAAACCCAAAGGAGAUGCUGCAAGGAGCAAAGCUCGUCCAUCCAGCAGCAGCUUCGCAGCUUCUCUGUUGCCGUCUGGCUCUGCAGCUGCGGCCGUAGGUUUUGGUAGAUCUGGAUUCGAAAACUUCUAUACUGUAUCAAACGAAGAUUCUGCUCCCUUUUUUUGGAUUUGGUUAGUGAGGUUAAACUCAACACUUGCAGCGGCUUUCAAGGAAAGACCCUACAACUAAGAACUGAUUAACCAAAAGAAAGGCAAGGAACUUUUGCCAAUAAUUCCAAAAUGGAUAUGUGAGUACAACAAGUUGAUACUGGACUACGAUAGCUACGCUUGGCGUCAUGACUAAUGAUGGUGUCACUGGUGUCGGGUUUGACUCUCAAUUUUCUCAUGCAUGUUCUUUUUCUUGCCUCGAUUGCAUUGCAGUGUCUCAUUUAUUUCCUUUUUUUAGUGUCAUACACUUGGAUGUCAUGUAGUCUUCUUGUGUCAUGAGUAAGUGAUAUGAUUUAGCUUUGUGAUUCUUCUAUUUACAAAUUAAAAUGGAAUACAGUAGUAGCUUUCUCACUAGGUUACGAAUUAUGAUAAUGAACCGUAUGAAUCGGUCGUAAUCUUUUUUUUUUUACAGAAAACCUUUAACAAAAUUUUAAUACCCCUAAAGCUUUUGUUGAGGAUUGAAAAAAUCAAUUACAUGUUCAUAAAAGCUCAUGUGAUGACAAUACUCUGUGUCAUCCAUCAGUUUUGUGAAGUACUUGGCUUUAUGUACCAUAGCCUUUUGGGUGGUGCCAAAGUCUAAGCUUGAGGGGGAGUAUUGACCAAGCAAUGUAGUUGAGGCAUGUAGUCGACUAUAUCACAAUGUAGUUGAGGCAUAUAGUCGACUAUUACAGGACUAUGUCAAGGAUCCUUAUUCAGAUCUUAAAUUAGGUUUAUGUGGUUGAAUACAAGAUAAUAGAUAUAAAUAUGUAUACAUAAAAUUUAUAAUGAUUAAUUUAUAAAUUUUCUGUAAAAAAAACACAAAAAGCAACUUUUGCACAACUUGGAGAUUUUGAUCUGCGUUUGAUUUUGUUGUUCUGAUUUUGCUUUUGAGUGACCACUGUUACAGGAUCAGUUUCUAGUUCGACGAAUGAAAAAUCCAAAGGUCAACCAGCCAGCCAGAAUUCAUUCAUUUCCCUAGUAGAGUCCUUCACAAGCUUUAGCCAAAUUUUGCACUUCAUCGAUGUGGUUAGUGUUUAUAGAGCUUAUUCCUAUCUGGCUAAGGAACCCAUGUGCUUGAAAGUUAUGGUAUGUCUUAUUGACCAAGCAAUGUAGAGAUAUGUGAAAUCAAAGACAAUAUAUACGAAUAAAAGACUUAAUAAGAGAAAAAAGUACUACAUUAAAA